AGUGAACGCUGGCGGCGUGCCUAAUACAUGCAAGUCGAACGGAAUUUAAAAGAGCUUGCUCUUUUAAAUUUAGUGGCGCACGGGUGAGUAAUAUAUAGCUAAUCUGCCCCUUGCUGGAGGACAACAGUUAGAAAUGACUGCUAAUACUCCAUACUCCUUUUUACCAUAAGAUAAAUCGGGAAAGAAUUUCGGCAAGGGAUGAGACUAUAUCGUAUCAGCUAGUCGGUGGGGUAACGGCCUACCGAGGCUAUGACGCGUAACUGGUCUGAGAGGAUGAUCAGUCACAUUGGAACUGAGACACGGUCCAAACUCCUACGGGAGGCAGCAGUAGGGAAUAUUGCGCAAUGGGGGAAACCCUGACGCAGCAACGCCGCGUGGAGGAUGACACUUUUCGGAGCGUAAACUCCUUUUGUUAGGG
rnacentral:rRNA from 1 species